AUUGAACGCUGGCGGCAUGCCUAACAUAUGCAAGUCGCACGCGAAAGGGGGCAACCCUGAGUAGAGUGGCGGACGGGUGGGUAACGCGUAGGAAUCUACCUGGUAGUGGGGGACAACCCGGUGAAAACCGGGCUAAUACCGCAUACGAUCCACGGAUGAAAGUAGGGGACCGCAAGGCCUUGCGCUAUCAGAUGAGCCUGCGUCGGAUUAGCUAGUUGGUGGGGUAAAGGCCCACCAAGGCGACGAUCCGUAGCUGGUUUGAGAGAACGACCAGCCACACUGGGACUGAGACACGGCCCAGACUCCUACGGGAGGCAGCAGUGGGGAAUAUUGGACAAUGGGGGCAACCCUGAUCCAGCAAUGCCGCGUGUGUGAAGAAGGCCUUCGGGUUGUAAAGCACUUUCGGUGGGGACAAACAAGGUGGAGCUAACAUCUCCGCCUCUGAUGGUACCCAAAGAAGAAGCACCGGCUAACUCUGUGCCAGCAGCCGCCGCAG
rnacentral:rRNA from 1 species